CCUACGGGGGGCAGCAGUGAGGGAUAUUGGUCAAUGGGGGAAACCCUGAACCAGCAACGCCGCGUGAGGGAAGACGGUUUUCGGAUUGUAAACCUCUGUCCUCUGUGAAGAUAAUGACGGUAGCAGAGGAGGAAGCUCCGGCUAACUACGUGCCAGCAGCCGCGGUAAUACGUAGGGAGCAAGCGUUGUCCGGAUUUACUGGGUGUAAAGGGAGCGUAGACGGCAGCGCAAGUCCGAAGUGAAAGCCCGGGGCCCAACCCCGGGACUGCUUUGGAAACUGUGAAGCUGGAGUGCGGGAGGGGCAGGCGGAAUUCCUGGUGUAGCGGUGAAAUGCGUAGAUAUCAGGAGGAACACCGGCGGCGAAGGCGGCCUGCUGGACCGCAACUGACGUUGAGGCUCGAAAGCGUGGGGAGCAAACAGGAUUAGAUACCCCAGUAGUC
rnacentral:rRNA from 1 species